CACGUAGGGGGCAAGCGUUGUCCGGAUUUAUUGGGCGUAAAGAGCUCGUAGGCGGUUUGUCGCGUCGGGAGUGAAAUCCACUGGCUUAACUGGUGGCUUGCUUUCGAUACGGGCAGACUGGAGGUAUGCAGGGGAGAACGGAAUUCCUGGUGUAGCGGUGAAAUGCGCAGAUAUCAGGAGGAACACCGGUGGCGAAGGCGGUUCUCUGGGCAUGUCCUGACGCUGAGGAGCGAAAGUGUGGGGAGCGAACAGG
rnacentral:rRNA from 1 species